CUAAUUUUCUUUAUUUUAUGAAUCACAGUCUAAAGGCUCAGAAGCAGUUGAUCAUUACCUGUCACAGUAUACAAAACACAUAUCUAAUAUUGGGGAAAAUGUAUGUAUUUUCUCGAGCAGCUAUGUGGAUAUAGGUCUUGCUGAAAAUUUGUAACUGAGCUUGUAAUCUUAACAAUUGUUGUCAAACAGUCAGCUGAUAUGUUCAUAUGUGAAUCAUCCACCCAAUUAGCUAUAAUGCUUUCCAAGGCCAGUACCAUAAAAACAUUGGAUCCAAAAGAGCAUGUGGUAACAUCAAAUGCCAAAUUGGACACAUACAUACGGUAUGAAAAUUUACGCAGAAGACAAGGACCCAUCACUCCAGAGUCUAGGAAAGUUGGGCAAAUGUAAUCUUUUUAUGGAAAAAUGCAAAACCUGUCAGCCA